GAUGAAGAACGUAGCGAAAUGCGAUAAGUAAUGUGAAUUGCAGAAUUCAGUGAAUCAUCGAAUCUUUGAACGCACAUUGCGCCCUUUGGUAUUCCAAAGUGCAUGCCUGUUCGAGCGUCAUUUGUACCCUCAAGCUUUGCUUGGUGUUGGGCGUCUUGUCUCUAGCUUUGCUGGAGACUCGCCUUAAAGUAAUUGGCAGCCGGCCUACUGGUUUCGGAGCGCAGCACAAGUCGCACUCUCUAUCAGCAAAGGUCUAGCAUCCAUUAAGCCUUUUUUUCAACUUUUGACCUCGGAUCAGGUAGGGAUACCCGCUGAACUUAAACAUAUCAAUAAGCGGAGGA
rnacentral:misc_RNA from 1 species